rnacentral:tRNA from 2 species
GCGGGAUUAGUUUAAUGGUAGAACAUCAGUUUUCCAAACUGAUGGCGGGAGUUCGAUUCUCCCAUCCCGCACAA